rnacentral:rRNA from 1 species
ACAUGCCUAUAGCAUAGUGUUAAUGCAUCGGAUCCCAUUAGAACUUCGCAGUUAAGCACACUCAGGCUAGAGUAGUACUGGGAUGGGUGAUUGCUCUAGAAGUCUUAGUGUUUUACAUGCC